rnacentral:tRNA from 3 species
GCGGAGGUUACCGAGUGGCCAAAGGAGGCAGACUCAAGAUCUGCUCCCGUAGGGGUUCGCAGGUUCGAAUCCUGCCCUCCGCA